rnacentral:lncRNA from 1 species
UUCAAGACUGCAACAAAAAACAGAAACAGACUUUGAGCUGGUGACCAGGGAGAUGGCUUAGUGGGUAAAAGUACUUGCUACCCAGCCUGACCACCUGAGUUUGAUCCCUAGAACCAUCGUGGCGGAAGGAGAGAAACAAAACUCUCACCUGACUGCUGCCACACAUGCACAGUGACACGCGUGCGCGCAAACACACACACACACUAAAUCAAUAAAUGUAAAAUGAAAACAUUUAAACCAACACACACCCAUCUUGUGAAUAAUGCCCCUUCCUGUGUCUCCACCAUCUAUCACUAGCGUCAUACAGAGCACACACUUCUCUCCUGCUCCAGGUGACUGGCAAAGCUCUGUUUCCGGGUGACUCAGAGAUUGACCAGCUCUUUCGGAUCUUUCGCACCCUGGGGACCCCCAGUGAAGCCACAUGGCCCGGAGUCUCCCAGAUGCCUGACUAUCAGAGUAGCUUCCCCAAAUGGAGCAGGAAGGGGCUGGAGGAAAUCGUGCCUAGUCUGGGACCAGAAGGCA